UGGGGAAUAUUGCACAAUGGGGGAAACCCUGAUGCAGCGACGCCGCGUGAGCGAAGAAGUAUUUCGGUAUGUAAAGCUCUAUCAGCAGGGAAGAAAAUGACGGUACCUGACUAAGAAGCCCCGGCUAACUACGUGCCAGCAGCCGCGGUAAUACGUAGGGGGCAAGCGUUAUCCGGAUUUACUGGGUGUAAAGGGAGCGUAGACGGCUUUGCAAGCCAGAUGUGAAAGCCCGGGGCUCAACCCCGGGACUGCAUUUGGAACUGUAAUGCUAGAGUGUCGGAGGGGCAAGUGGAAUUCCUAGUGUAGCGGUGAAAUGCGUAGAUAUCGGGAGGAACACCAGUGGCGAAGGCGGCCUACUGGGCACCAACUGACGCUGAGGCUCGAAAGUGUGGGUAGCAAACAGG
rnacentral:rRNA from 1 species